UUUUUUGAGAGUUUGAUCCUGGCUCAGGGUGAACGCUGGCGGCGUGUCUAAGGCAUGCAAGUCGAACGAUUCAAUCGAGUUUCCGCAAGGAAAUUUUGUUGGAUAGUGGCGAACGGGUGAGUAACACCUUGGUAACCUACCUCCGAGUGGGGUAUAACUCCGCGAAAGCGGAGCUAAUCCUCCAUGCGCUCCAUUAUUACCUAUAGUGGAGCAAAGGCCCCGCCUUUGGCGGGAUCGCUCGGAGAGGGGCCUAGGUCCCAUCAGCUAGUUGGUAGGGUAAUGGCCUACCAAGGCAAUGACGGGUAGCCGGUGUGAGAGCACGGUCGGCCUCACUGGGACUGAGAUACUGCCCAGACACCUACGGGUGGCUGCAGUCGAGAAUCUUCCCCAAUGGCCGCAAGGCUGAGGGAGCGACGCCGCGUGCAGGAUGAAGCCCUUCGGGGUGUAAACUGCUUUUGGUGGGGAGCAAGCUGCCGUACCUCAUUGCAUUCGGUACGGAAUUUCCAAUUUCCAAUUUCCAAUUUCCAAAUAAAUCCCAAUUACCAAAGUUCAAACAAUCGAAACAUCAUUUCGUGCUUUGAAUUUCGGAAUUUGAAUUUAUUUGGGAUUUGGGAUUUGGGAUUUGGGAUUUCCGCCAUACCGAGCGCAGUGAGGUGCGGCGGUUGAGAGUACCCACAGAAUAAGGACCUGCUAAACUCGUGCCAGCAGCCGCGGUAAUACGAGUGGUCCAAGCGUUACCCGGAUUUAUUGGGCGUAAAGCGUCCGCAGGCGGUCUGCCGCAUCUUCGGUUAAAUCCCGAUGCUCAACAUCGGGAUCGCCGGAGCGAUGGGCGGACUCGAGGCCGGGAGAGGGGAACGGAAUUGCCGGUGUAGGAGUAAAAUCCGUUAAUAUCGGCAAGAACGCCAAAGGCGAAAGCAGUUCCCUGGAACGGCCCUGACGCUCAUGGACGAAAGCGUGGGGAGCGAAUGGGAUUAGAUAAAUCCCGGUUCCGAUAUUAUAUCGGAACGAAUGGUGUCCCCUCCGAUGGCGACAUCGGGGAGUGCAUCCAGCUGUAUCGGGGAAACUCCAAAAAGUUGGGUCUACUACUGCCCAUUUGGACAAUCCCGAGGGAAGUCCGACUCGAAAUUUCGACAUAUCGGUAUUUCGCGUUGGACCCCGUAGAGACUAUGAAGUUGAUUGUGACAGAGGGUGUAAUAUUUCAUUUAUGAAUCACUACACACCCUUGUCUGAAAAUACGCGGGUCCUACUAUUAGGCUCGCUCCUUGGCGAUGGAUCUUUGAAGAUCCAUCCCUUGUACAAAAAUGCCCGUUUUUCGUUUCGCCAUUCUCACGCACAACAGCACUAUUUCAUGUGGAAGGUUGCGCAAUUGGAAGAAAUAUCGUCUGACAAGUGUAUGUGGCAGCAAACAAAAAACGGCUCCGACGGAUGGGGUACCGUUAAGUGGCGAUACCAAAGCAUGGCAUUGCCGGCUUUGACUGAACUAUUUAACCUCACUCAUCAUCACGGUAAAUUUUUAAUAAGAAGGAAAUGGCUCAAUCUGUUGACCCCGUUGUCGCUUGCGAUAUGGUGGCAGGACGACGGAUCGAUUAUCGCCAACGGCAGGAAGGGGGUAUUGUGCACUGAAGGUUUUACUCAACCGGAGGUGCAGCUGCUUCGGCAAUACCUCAAGGCUGUGUGGCACAUCGAAACGGUUGUUGCGCCGAAAAGCGCACGCGAGCCGAGUAAAGUCAGAUUGUGGUUUCGUUCUUCAGAACAGCUGCAAUCAUUUAUGAGGAUCAUAAUGCCGCAUAUUGCGGUUGAACAAAUGAUUCCCAAAUUUAUCCUUCUGUACCAUAAUCAUCAACUUCAGCAACGCUGGAUCUCUGAGGUAGCUCGGUUGUCUCGAUUUCCUUUAUCUGCGGUAGAAAAGCAUUUUCAACAGAAAAAGGAACGAUGGAAGGAAUACCGAAAUGCAUCAGAGAAUGAUAUAGUCCAACCUCUGCGGUAACGUAGAGAAUAAAUUGACCCCAGUAGUCCACGCUGUAAACGAUGGGUACUGGACAUUGGAAGUGUCGACCCUUCCAGUGUCGUUGUUUGUAAGCUCACGCAUUAAGUACCCCGCCUGGGGAGUACGGUCGCAAGACUAAAACUCAAAGGAAUUGACGGGAACCCGCACAAGCGGUGGAGCAUGUGGUUCAAUUCGACGGUAAGCGAGGAACCUUACCAGGGCUUGACAUGAUGCUGCAAGCGCACGGAAACGUGUGACCUUCGAGGGUGCAUCACAGGUGCUGCAUGGCUGUCGUCAGCUCGUGUCGUGAGAUGUACCGUUAAGUCGGGUAACGAGCGCAACCCCUACGAUGUGUUACUUCGUGUCACAUCGAACUGCCUCGGUUAACGGGGAGGAAGGUGGGGAUGACGUCAAGUCAGCAUGGCCCUUACGUCCUGGGCUACACACGUGCUACAAUGGGGCGCACAAUGGGGCGCCAAGGAGCAAUCCGGAGCAAAUCCCAUCAAAACGCCCCCCAGUUCAGAUUGAGGGCUGCAACCCGCCCUCAUGAAGCAGGAAUCGCUAGUAACCGCGGAUCAGCCUCGCCGCGGUGAAUACGUUCUCGGGUUUUGUACACGGACCGCUUGGUAGCGGACAAUUAAUGCCGGU
rnacentral:rRNA from 1 species